AGAGUUUGAUCCUGGCUCAGGACUAACGCUGGCGGCACGCCUAACACAUGCAAGUCGCACGAGAAACUUCGUAGCAAUACGGGGCAGUAAAGUGGCGAACGGGUGAGUAAUGCAUGGGUGACCUGUCCUCAAGAUGGGAAUAACCUCGCGAAAGCGGGGCUAAUACCCAAUGUCAUUUCGGUCUUACGGGAUCGGGAUGAAAGAUAGCUGUUACAGGCUGUUGCUUGAGGAGGGGCCCAUGUCCCAUCAGCUUGUUGGUAGGGUAACGGCCUACCAAGGCUACGACGGGUAGCUGGUCUGAGAGGACGACCAGCCACACUGGCACUGAGACACGGGCCAGACUCCUACGGGAGGCAGCAGUGAGGAAUCUUGCGCAAUGGACGAAAGUCUGACGCAGCGAUGCCGCGUGGGGGAUGAAGGCUUUCGGGUUGUAAACCCCUUUUGGUGGGAAAGAAACACCCGGAUGUUAACAGCGUCCGGGCUUGACGGUACCCACAGAAAAAGCCACGGCUAACUCUGUGCCAGCAGCCGCGGUAAGACAGAGGUGGCAAGCGUUGUCCGGAAUUACUGGGCGUAAAGAGCGCGUAGGUGGCUAGAUAAGUCCGGUGUGAAAUCCUUCGGCUUAACCGGGGAAUGGCAUCGGGGACUGUUUAGCUAGAGGACGGGAGAGGAGAGCGGAAUUCCCGGUGUAGCGGUGAAAUGCGUAGAGAUCGGGAGGAAGGCCGGUGGCGAAGGCGGCUCUCUGGAACGUCCCUGACGCUGAGGCGCGAAAGCGUGGGGAGCAAACAGGAUUAGAUACCCUGGUAGUCCACGCCCUAAACGAUGGACACUAAGUGUCGGAGGUAUUGAGCCCUCCGGUGCCGCAGCUAACGCAUUAAGUGUCCCGCCUGGGGAGUACGGCCGCAAGGUUGAAACUCAAAGGAAUUGACGG
rnacentral:rRNA from 1 species